rnacentral:rRNA from 1 species
CCUACGGGCGGCUGCAGUGGGGAAUAUUGGACAAUGGGCGAAAGCCUGAUCCAGCCAUGCCGCGUGUGUGAAGAAGGCCUUCGGGUUGUAAAGCACUUUCAGUGGGGAAGAAAGCCUUGGGGCUAAUACCCUCGAGGAAGGACAUCACCCACAGAAGAAGCACCGGCUAACUCCGUGCCAGCAGCCGCGGUAAUACGGAGGGUGCGAGCGUUAAUCGGAAUUACUGGGCGUAAAGCGCGCGUAGGCGGUCUGAUAAGCCGGUUGUGAAAGCCCCGGGCUCAACCUGGGAACGGCAUCCGGAACUGUCAGGCUAGAGUGCAGGAGAGGAAGGUAGAAUUCCCGGUGUAGCGGUGAAAUGCGUAGAGAUCGGGAGGAAUACCAGUGGCGAAGGCGGCGUUCUGGACUGACACUGACGCUGAGGUGCGAAAGCGUGGGUAGCAAACAGGAUUAGAUACCCUAGUAGUC